rnacentral:rRNA from 1 species
UACGGGGGGGGCAAGCGUUGUUCGGAAUUACUGGGCGUAAAGGGCGUGUAGGUGGCCAACUAAGUCAUACGUGAAAUCCCUCGGCUCAACCGGGGAACUGCGUCCGAUACUGGAUGGCUUGAGUUCGGGAGAGGGAUGCGGAAUUCCAGGUGUAGCGGUGAAAUGCGUAGAUAUCUGGAGGAACACCGGUGGCGAAGGCGGCAUCCUGGACCGACACUGACGCUGAGGAGCGAAAGCCAGGGGAGCAAACGGG